rnacentral:rRNA from 1 species
CUCACAACGCCUUGCUUAACCACACCCCCACGGGAGACAGCAGUAACAAAAAUUAAGCCAUAAACGAAAGUUUGACUAAGCCAUAUUGACUAGGGUUGGUAAAUCUCGUGCCAGCCACCGCGGUCAUACGAUUGACCCAAGCUAACAGGAGUACGGCGUAAAGCGUGUUAAAGCAUCAUACUAAAUAGAGUUAAAUUUUAAUUAAACUGUAAAAAGCCAUAAUUAUAACAAAAAUAAAUGACGAAAGUAACCCUACAAUAGCUGAUACACCAUAGCUAAGACCCAAACUGGGAUUAGAUACCCCACUAUGCUUAGCCCUAAACACAAAUAAUUAUAAGAACAAAAUUAUUCGCCAGAGUACUACCGGCAACAGCCCGAAACUCAAAGGACUUGGCGGUGCUUUAUACCCUUCUAGAGGAGCCUGUUCUAUAAUCGAUAAACCCCGAUAAACCUCACCAAUCCUUGCUAAUACAGUCUAUAUACCGCCAUCUUCAGCAAACCCUAAAAAAGGGACAAAAGUAAGCUCAAUAAUAACACAUAAAGACGUUAGGUCAAGGUGUAACCUAUGGAGUGGGAAGAAAUGGGCUACAUUUUCUAUCCAAGAAAAUUUAAUACGAAAGCCAUUAUGAAAUUAAUAGCCAAAGGAGGAUUUAGCAGUAAACUAAGAAUAGAGUGCUUAGUUGAAUCAGGCCAUGAAGCACGCACACACCGCCCGU